UUCUGUCUCCUCUUCUCUCUCUUUCUUUCUCUCUCUCUCUCUCUCUCUCUUCUGCAUCUUCCUGUAUUCGAGUUACUUCCCUUGGCGUUACACAACAGUAGUCGAACAGGAGCAGUUUGGUUUGUCUUUACGGUGACCUAACUAAAAUGGAACCUACGGAUUACAUAUCAUUAUUUGAUGUAUGAAUAUCUAUAUAUAAGACCAAUCAUCGAUUCGCUAAACUUAACAACGAAACAUAUUCAGGGAACAUUAUUAAUGCAGUGGGAAGUUCUACAAAAAAUAAGAGCCAGACCAGCAAAGAAGAGGAACCAGAUAUCCUCCUAAAAUUCACACUACAGUUUUUAAAGAAAGAAAGAAAGAAAAAGAGCGGGAUGUUCGACUGGAUUGUGUCUGAUAAGUUUGUUGCUCGUUAAGACUAACCUGGGACUGAACAAUAACAGCAGCAGCAGCAACAACAACAACAACACAUAUACGACAACCUGGAAAUGUUUCUGUUAAAGUUUCUUUCAAAUGUGUUUCUUUUUAAUAACUAGAAUUACUACCAACAACGAAUCCCAACAGUAAGUGUAGCGGCAUAAAAUAUAUUAUAUAAUUCUCUUAGUGAAAUAAAUCACGUAUACACCCAAAUAA
rnacentral:lncRNA from 1 species